rnacentral:rRNA from 1 species
GAUGAACGCUGGCGGCGUGCUUAACACAUGCAAGUCGAACGAAGCACUUUAUUUGAUUUCCUUCGGGACUGAUUAUUUUGUGACUGAGUGGCGGACGGGUGAGUAACGCGUGGGUAACCUGCCUUGUACAGGGGGAUAACAGUUGGAAACGGCUGCUAAUACCGCAUAAGCGCACGGCAUCGCAUGAUGCAGUGUGAAAAACUCCGGUGGUAUAAGAUGGACCCGCGUGGGAUUAGCUAGUUGGUGAGGUAACGGCCCGCCAAGGCGACGAUCCAUAGCCGACCUGAGAGGGUGACCGGCCACAUUGGGACUGAGACACGGCCCAAACUCCUACGGGAGGCAGCAGUGGGGAAUAUUGCACAAUGGGCGAAAGCCUGAUGCAGCGACGCCGCGUGAGCGAAGAAGUAUUUCGGUAUGUAAAGCUCUAUCAGCAGGGAAGAUAAUGACGGUACCUGACUAAGAAGCACCGGCUAAAUACGUGCCAGCCGCCGCGGUAA